rnacentral:ncRNA from 2 species
AAUCAAAUCGGCGAUGAAGCUCGCCCUUAACCGCCGAACCCGGCUGAUGGCUUCUACCCGAAG